rnacentral:misc_RNA from 1 species
AGCAAGAAGCUAAUUGCAAGGCUAACUUGUUCUCCUCUAUGCUUAAAAGCCUAAGAAACACAAAACCCUUCAUCUCCAAUCUACAUUGGAACAAAGUGCAUAGACAAUUUAAUACUGGAACAAGCAUAUAGACAAUUUAGUAUUUAUGUAUAUGCAUUUUUGGCCAUAACCAAGUGAAACGAAGGAAAAUGAUUCAUAUGUUUGAUCUCAAUUAGUUAUGGAUAAAGCUUAGUUGAGUUCUGUAUGGCAUGUCUAUUCAAAUUUGCACAAUAGCCACAGAUCUAGAAACUCUUUCAAUCGACAAUACCUGAACAGUGACCACAUUCUCCACUGCUUGAUCCCUGUUUUUUUCUUGUAUGAUAACUCUCUGCCCACGACAUGCACAUAUCGAAGGAAAA